rnacentral:snRNA from 1 species
ACUCGGUUAAGUAGCCGUCCGG